GAAAUGCGAUAAGUAGUGUGAAUUGCAGAAUUCAGUGAAUCAUCGAAUCUUUGAACGCACAUUGCGCCCUUUGGUAUUCCUUAGGGCAUGCCUGUUCGAGCGUCAUCUAAACCUUCAAGCUCUGCUUGGUGUUGGGUGUUUGUCCCGUCUCCGCGCGUGGACUCGCCCCAAAGUGAUUGGCAGCCGGCGUACUGGUCCCGGAGCGCAGCACAUGUCGCGCAAACGAGUGCCUUGGUACGGCGGCGUCCAUAAGCCCCUCUCUCACGCUCUUGACCUCGGAUCAGGUAGGGAUACCCGCUGAACUUAAGC
rnacentral:misc_RNA from 1 species